AUUAUAAUAAAUUUUAUUAAAAUUGUUAUUAAAAUAAAAAUCUUCAAUGUCCCCACUUAUUAUAAUUUUGAGUAAAUUCCGAAACAAAAUUCUCUUUAUGUUCCACAAUUUCGUACGUGAACAUAACUUCUAAUCAACUUUCAGUCCUCAACUGAUAUUAUCUGAUUUUGGCUCGAGUAUUAUCUGCUUUGUCGUUAAAAUUUGUUGUUGAAAUCUUGUCGAUGCAACCAGUCGUUGAUAAUGGAACGGAUAAGCGGGCGCCUGUCGUCCGAGGCGAAAGCAUUCGCUGCGAUGGAACAAGAUGAAUGUGCAAUUGUAAUCACGACGGAUUAUUCAAGGCCGAUGGAAUUUCUUCCUCGCUUGAUCGUAAAUUGCGUAUGGCUGUUGUCUCACGUUGCCUCUUACCUUGGUGUAUUUCGGUCAAAGCAUAUUGUUUUUCUAUUCACGAAAAAUUCUCUCUCCCUCUCUCCGUCUCGUUCUCUUUUUCUCAAUGAUUACAGUGCGACGGAUUGCGCGUGUGAAUUUUUGCGUUCAUUCACGAACACCGCAGGCGCCGUGGUAGUAACAAUAAUGAUUCCGUGCCGGUUGGUAACCACGAGAAAAUUGAGAGUCGUUUGCGUUCAACUGACUGACUGGUGGCAGCCUAUGACAGUUAUGAUGUAGUGGGUGAACGCCGAGCGCGAUAACCGCGAGAUUAUUUAUCUGAAUGAAAAUCGCCGUAGAAUUUUCUCUCAUCUUAUUCUAAUUAAUAGCGUUAUUCCCACGGGCCUGUCCUUCGCGAUUCGUUUGUAUUUUGCGGUUUUGUUAUUGAAGGACGUUUAAUCCGAUCGAACGUGACGAAUCUGCAAACUUGCAUUUCUCAUCCUCGGCUCGAAUGAUGCAAUCGUUUACAGAGUUCAAAAUUGUUGCAAUAUCUCAUAUAUGCACGAUAUCAAAUUAUUCUACGUACUUUUGCAAACUGUUUUUCACGCUCGCUGUAAACACGAGCAGCUAAAGAAGCGACCUUCACCAUCUCGAGGAAAAUUCUACAGCUUUGGAAUGCAUCCUACCAUUACAUGCUUGUAGAAAGAGAGAGAAUGGCUUCGCGCGCAAGAGUGCGCGAAAGAAAAGUUUACGGUUACGCAUGUACAAAGGUGGAAUCUCGCAUCUAACGGUGUUAUGCGAACAGACGAUAAGAAUGCCAGAAACAGUAAGAGUACAACAAUUGCAUCCUGCGGAUCGGUCAAUUUCUACCCUUCACAAAAGAGGAGAGGAUUCUUCACAAAAAAUCAAUACUCUUGUAAGUUGCACUUGACCUACAUACUCGUCAAAUACUUGUAAAAUAAAGUAAAAGUGAAAAAUACAUAUAUCUUCCACAAAAAAUAAGACAACUAGUUCUUUAUGGGAUUAUUUUAAAUGUCAAAAUAAGAGCUAUAUUAAAAAAUUGUAAUUUUAAAAUUUAAUGUGGUAGAUCAAAGUGUUACGUUUUGCCAUGUAAAUUGAAAUAUAUGAGUUUUUUGAGGUUCCUGAUAAUCUGCAAUAAAAAUUUCAAAAUUCAAAAGAACGGAUCAAAAUGCUAAAUUUUGUUGGAAACCGAAUAAAACUUAUUUUUCAAUGGUCUUUUAUUGAUUGAUUAAAUCUGGCAUUUCAAAUUAGCCGUCCCAAAAAUCCCUGAAAUAUAAGUUUAAACAUUUUUCUUAAUAUUGUAAUUAAAUGCUAAUCAUAUUUCAAAAAAGACACAAAAGGAUUAAUGUUUUGAUUUUGGAUAAAAAUUUAGUUAUAAGGUUUCUGAAAUGACCGCUUCAAUUAUAAAUUACAUUUUUCAUUGAAGGCACACAAAAUAAUUUCCAUAACAAUGUUACAACCAAAAAUUCACCAAGAUUUACUCGUCAGUCGUGAGCGCAACGAUGUGGAUCUAAAAUAUCAAAGAGCAUCAGUGAUAGUCCCGAUUAACAGUUUCAGAGAUCGAUUAAAGAAAAAAAAAGGCGCGAGCCAAUCGCCUGGUACUUUCUCAUCUCAGAUAAAAGUCGAACGCUCGGCCACCACCACUACCACCACUACCACCGCCGCCGGAGGAUUUGAUAUAGAUGUCGAAAGGUCACGCUACGGUGAUUUCGUCGCGAAUUCCUCCGAGCCUUUCCCUCCCUCCGCUCGCCGGGCGGCGCGACGUGGGUUAAGCCGUGGCGUAACGAAGAAGCGAACGGGGAAGCGGAGCGUGCAAACAAACGGGAAGCCGGGAAAAACAAUAAUUAUUUUCGUGCCACGGUCGCGUCGUUCGGAAUCGUACUGCGCUCGGCGAUAAGGAAAUGUGCCGCUAGAAAAUGAGCGAUCGCCGGUGUAAUUUUUACAUUUUUUUUUUCUUCUUCAAGAACGCUCGGUGACGACAGUCGUGAACCGAAGAGUUCCGCUCGUCCGGACGGAAAGCUUGUCGGAAGGGAGAAAGAAAGGGGAGGGAGGGGGAAGAGAAUUCCGUUUCGGCACGUUUUUGCGAGAUAGAAAGCUGGCUCGUAGAGAAAUGGAGAUCUGUGUUCGAGAGGAGGAAGACGCGUGACACACGUCGUAUCGUGUACAACGCGAGCCAUCGGCUCGUAAAAUGCACGUGAUUCAUCUGUAUCGCCUUUUGCGAUACUGUAUUUCCUACUUUCCACGGUUGGCGGGCAGGAUCCUUGAUACUACAUACAGGGUGUCCUUAAACAUGUGGGUCAACUCUUAUAAAGAGAUAGAAGGGAUCGAGAUGAACAAAAAAGUCUUCUAUCCUUUUGCGAUAUUUGCAAAAAUUAUUGAGUCAUUAAAUGUUAAACUCAUACUAGAUAGGCAGAGAUAGUUAGGUGUGCUACAAUUUAGGCGGCCCGAGUGUGAGUCUGCCUCUUUACGCGAUUUUAUUAGUAUAAAUUUAACAUUUAAUGACUUAAUUUUUACAAAUAUCGCAAAAUGGUAGAAGACUUUUUUGUUUAUCUCGAUUCCUUCUACCUCUUUACGAGCGUUGAUUCACAUGUUGCAAGACACCUGUGUACGUUUCCUUCGGCGGCGGUGUCGGUCGUCGGAAAUUCGUUGUAAGUCACGCGCGGAAAAGGAAUACAUUUGUUCGGUUGGAAAACGGACAAAUUUCGAAAAGUGAAUGCCUCACAACCCGAGCGUUGCGACACCGCAACGCGUUCCCUGGAGGUUAUUCCAUAUUUUUAUAUAAUACAUAUUUGCUUACGCGCGGGGACGAGGGACGAGUGUCGCAACAUCGUUUCGUCGCUAUUGUGUACCUACUCUGUCGUUCCCACUCUUCGCGCCUGUGCUUCCGGUUGUAUUGCGGGCUCGACAUUCCCGUUUCCGGUUUCGGACUAGUAGCCAACCAACCACGACUUCUCUUCACGUGCGCGAUUACUAUGGCGAUUCUCGUGGGUGGAUUUCUACUCUGCGACACCAUGAGCUAUUUUUAUCGCUUCUCCCUAAUUAGAUUAGAUACGCAAUCUAUAUUGCCGUCGUACGCCACUUUGCCCGAUAAAUUUAUGAAUUACUUCUCAAGGUAACGGUCACAUAAUUUGUUAUGUUCAAAUAAAAGUUUAUUUUUUCGCGUUACAAUCGUUAAAUAAAAACAUACGUUUCCUAGGAACGCACUUAUUGCCUAAUAAGAGUCUCACCGCCAAUUCUCGUCAAAACUAUUUAUUAAUAAAAAGUAAAAAAAUGUACACACACACACACACCACUGAAUUAGUAUUACGAUGCUUCACGUUAGUGAAUCGUUACCGUUGCUUGGCACCUCCGAGACAAGUUUUCUAUAAAACUGAUUUUUGUCGAGAUUGUUAAGAUAAAGAUCUCUAUAUAGAGUCUGUUGAACCAACUGUUUCAAUUUUCAUACUUCUUUUCCCUCUAGAAAGCUUUAGUUUAAACUCGCGGAAUUCUAUAGGCUUAUUUCGUUUUUAGUACUUUCAGGUGUGUGCAGAGAGACAGUUUUAAAUCGUUUUACAUACUCCUUUAAUGUCUUUUUCUUGUAAAGGUCGGACGAGGAAACUCUCAUUUAAAAGGAGUCUCGUCGUAAAGGGAGUCUCACUAUCGGCUUUGCGCCAGAUUUUUCCGUCUAAUGUUUUUCAAAUAAAAGAUAUGCUAUGCUCUUAUUAAACACACUGUACGUAAUUUAAUUUCAGAGAUAUCGUAUUAUUUAUAUUGCUAUUAACGAUAUUGAUUCUUAUCGUAUUACUGAGUUUUUAAUACUUUUGAGAGUCCUAACUGUUAAAUUCUCCUCAUUAAUCAUUAAUAAUAUUAUUUAGAUAAGUUAAUAGUCUUUAUUCUUUCAAAUACCAUACUCGUGAACUAAUUCAAUUAUUCGUAAUUGAAAGAAUGUCAGUACGUGAUAAGAUAACAUUAUGUGAUCAAUAAAAUGAUGACGGGCUCAAGAUGAAAUUAUGGUGUCGAGACGCUUCCUGUUUCUGUAGGAAAUAUAAUACCGUUUGUUUAUGAUAACGACAUGUCGUCAGUUUUCUUUUCCCGGCAUAUAUCAAAGACGCAAUCGAUAUUUAUGUUACACUGAAGGGAAAUUACUUCCGCGGUAUUUUUCCUAACGCGUUCGUCGUGCUUCCCUUUCCAAGCGGUGGAUCGAAAUAAAAACUCUCUCAUCAGGAGAGACGUUUAAAAUAACAAUCAGAUAAAAUUUCACUAAUGUCACAUACAAUUUAUAUUACGUAAAUAAAAUAUUUGUAAUGAAUAAAUAAGAUCCAAUUUUAUUUUUGUCUAGAACAUCAUAGAUGUAUCGGGAAAUAAUUUUCGCAUCAGCUUGACGAUUACGUAAAUUUUCUGAAAUGUUUUCACCACGUUUGUGUAAUUUAUGACGUAACACUUUCAUAAAACAAAUUUAAUUUUUAUCACCAUUACAAAUUGAUUAAAACUUUGUGUUAAUUUUGCUUCUUUAAAUGGGGCCACGCAUUCACACAAGUGGCUGCAUAAAGUAUUCAACUUGAUACGAGGCUCGAAUGUGUAACACGAAGACUACUAUCAACACUUGCGUCAGUGGCACCUGCGCAAGCACGACGAGCGAGUGAAGAAAAUUGCUUUAUACCGCCCACGAUAAAAAUGCGAAACGUACAAGCCUAGACACAAUUACAGGCGCCGUAGUGAGAUUACCUCGUUUGCCCUACAUCGUCAAUAAUAUAGAAGUCAUUGGAUUUAAGACUCUUCAAAUUAAUUUUUAUUUUGAGCGAUUAAAACUGGCAUUGAGUACAAAUUUUACAGCAAAAUAAAAUACUGAAAGUGCAUAAAUAAGGUAAGUUAGUUUGAAGCUAACAUAAUAAAUUUAUGUCUUGUAAAAAAAAAAA